rnacentral:lncRNA from 1 species
GACAUGCUUGUACCUUACACCAAAAUUCAAAUUCAAUUACCAAAAUACUUGUGAGUCUUACACAGAGUUCAAUUCAUCCCAGAGCCCAUUCAAGAUGGCCAUGGGGGUCACUCCUGUGAAACUAAAGAUGUCCUCCUAUAAGUAACCCAACUCUCAAACUCCUGACACCAUGGCAGGCUCCUAUGCAACUUCACUCUCCAAUUUUACUAAGAGGGGGCGAGGGGUUCUCAGACCCAUGCACAAUAGUGGUGUGUGGUAUAUUUAAUCCUGGCUGGUCUGUGUAAAUAUAAGUAACAGUUACUUGACGACAUAAUCAAAGAAUGCAAGUGAAAAUGAAGCUGGAACAGACAAAUGACAAAAUGAGCUCUUUUUAUUUUACAUGGUAGUAGCCAGUAUCCUAUCAAAUAACAUGCAUGCCUAGCUCUUCUAAGUAACACAUCCCUAAACCAAAAUACUUCAAUCAUAUUAAUAGGGUGGUUUUUAAAAUAAGCUGAAAAAGCACCUUUCGGGAGGCUAGCCACCUUUGCAUCUACUCGAGUCAUUAUCUUUAAUAGUAUUGAGUCCAUAGCCCCAUGGUGAACGUCCAUCACUCAGCUUUUAAAUCACCUUCAAUCAAGAUUCCAGACUCAUGGCAGGUUGACAGGGGCAAUGCCUUUCUGCUGUAUGUGUAAGUAGGAUCCCCACUAAAGUUCCUUUUGUGACUUGCUGGUUAAGUCAACACGGCGAGUGGACCGGAGGGUCCGAGGGCUCCGUCCUUUGUUACGCAGGGGACACCCCUCGAAGGCCACCUCAACGCCCACGGGCACAUCUGGGCUUUUCCAGGCAGUCCACAGAGCCAUCCCCGGCCUCUUUACCGCCGAGACACUGUGAGGUCACACAGGCAGGACACAAAACCCGCACGCAGCAGCCCCUCGCGAGGCGCCCCGAGCCCGGGUGCCCACCGCCAACUCCCACCCCAAAUCCGCUCGCGGGCGCAAGACCGGUUCAGAAGCGCAGCAACCCCGCGAUGCUCCCGGAAGACACCGCGUCUCCAACAUUUACACGGAGAUGCUGCUCGGCUCAGGCUCGGGUCCGUACGCUUCCCGAGGUGCGUACUACGAGAGCCACACACAUCACUACCGAUAUUCCUGGGAAAGUCGGUGCCACAGUUCCGACCUGAAUCCGAAAGUGCUUCUAAAUCCCAUGCUUCACAGAACGUUCGGAAGGGGAGGCGCUCCGUGGGGGCUGCUGCGUGCCCAUGUAGCUGAACUGACUCGAAUAAAAGCGUGUCCACGUCUACAUCACACAUCUGUGUAAAUGCAGAAGCCUGCGGAUACGCGGGACUGGCCAGACUUCACAGUGUGCAGACACAUGGGCUCAUGCACGCGCGCGCGCUCACACACACACACCCCAAAUUACCUCCGGGAUGGAGAAAGCCGCUGCGGAUUGGCCAGCAGAGCCGUCACUCAUGCCCAGGGGGCAGGGAGACUUCGCAAAGCUGUUUCCUUUUUUUUUUUUUCUCUCUGCUCUCCUCCCUACUGUUUCAUUUAAUGGUAAAACAACAGCAGAGCUCUGAAAGUUAGCCAUCUGCGCGGAGUUUGCCUUCUUUAAGGAGGGAGGCGUCAGACGAUAUCCAUUUAAAUAUAUUUUGUACUUCCACAAAGGAUGGAAAGGGAAAUUAACGAAGGGAGUGCAGGCGGAAAGGGAGCUCCGAGUAAGGANUUUUGAUUUUAUUAUUUAAGCAUGCGCCAGCAAUCGUGUUUCCUUAAGAAAGAACUGACCUAUUUUGGCUGGAGAUAAACGAUCAUGUUAACAGAUGUUAAUCUUGUAAUCUGUUUUCCUGUAAGCACUUUACCUACCCGGGUUUCAGACCUUAAAAUAACAUCUUUUCCAAAAGACCUGACGUCACAAUUCACUCCCUGAAAAUCACACUCCCCCUCCAGUUUCUUCCCCUGCAAUGAUUUCAAAGACAUUAAAUCUUUUCCACUUUAUAAAUGCUGAUCUGUUCUGCCUCUACUCCCACAGGCUCUUAUUUGCAUUUCAAAUUCCACAGGUUACACCAGUCGCCUUUUCAAAAAAUGUAAACCAACAAUGAAGCAGCAAAUGGCUUUUUGUGCAUCUGGAUUAAAUAAAGCACAGAAUGAAUACAUUUGAAAAGAGGACUGCGCAAGUUGAUCUUUGCACACCCAGAGACCCAGUGACUCUUUAUCAGCGGAAUGAGUAAGACACACAGCCCCCAGAGCUCUCUGUCUGAUCCCGGUCUGCUGCGGGAAGCUUAUUAACGCUGAUAAUAGAUGGGGCUGACUUACAGACCCACAUUUUUCGGGUAAAAGGCUAGUUCCCUCUGGUCCCUAAUUGCGGGGGUCCACUGGCUUUCCUCACCGCACACAUAAACUGCUGCUUUUAAAUACCCCACUCGACUGCAGUUUAACAAACUUAUUCAUACAAAGUUUCUUUAAAACUUGAGGCGGUUUAAUCUAAAUACUGAUCGUAACUAUUCAGUCUGUUAGUUCUCC